rnacentral:rRNA from 1 species
GACGAAGGAUGCAAGCGUUAUCCGGAUUCAUUGGGUUUAAAGGGAGCGUAGGUGGACUUGUAAGUCAGUGGUGAAAUCUUUGGGCUUAACCCAGAGACUGCCAUUGAUACUGCAGGUCUAGAGUACAGUUGCCGUUGGCGGAAUAUGACAUGUAGUGGUGAAAUACUUAGAUAUGUCAUAGAACACCGAUUGCGAAGGCAGCUAACGAAGCUGUAACUGACACUGAGGCUCGAAAGUGCGGGGAUCAAACAGG